rnacentral:rRNA from 1 species
CCGAAAGGCAGGAGUGCCUGCAAGGGAGCGCGGAGACAGGUGGUGCAUGGCUGUCGUCAGCUCGUGUCGUGAGAUGUUGGGUUAAGUCCCGCAACGAGCGCAACCCUCACCUCUUGUUGCCAUCAGGUCAUGCUGGGCACUCUAGAGGAACUGCCCCGGUCAACGGGGAGGAAGGCGGGGAUGACGUCAAGUCGUCAUGCCCCUUACGUCCUGGGCUACACACGUGCUACAAUGGCCGGUACAAAGGGAUGCCACACCGCGAGGUAGAGCUAAACCCAAAAAGCCGGUCUAAGUUCGGAUUGGAGUCUGCAACUCGACUCAUGAAGGAGGAAUCGCUAGUAAUCGCGUAUCAGCACGACGCGGUGAAUACGUUCCCGGGCCUUGUACACACCGCCCGUCACACCACGAAAGCCAG